UAGGGAAUCUUCGGCAAUGGACGGAAGUCUGACCGAGCAACGCCGCGNGAGUGAAGAAGGUUUUCGGAUCGUAAAGCUCUGUUGUAAGAGAAAAAUGAGUGUGAGAGUGGAAAGUUCACACUGUGACGGUAUCUUACCAGAAAGGGACGGCUAACUACGUGCCAGCAGCCGCGGUAAUACGUAGGUCCCAAGCGUUGUCCGGAUUUAUUGGGCGUAAAGCGAGCGCAGGCGGUUAGAUAAGUCUGAAGUUAAAGGCUGUGGCUUAACCAUAGUACGCUUUGGAAACUGUUUAACUUGAGUGCAAGAGGGGAGAGUGGAAUUCCAUGUGUAGCGGUGAAAUGCGUAGAUAUAUGGAGGAACACCGGUGGCGAAAGCGGCUCUCUGGCUUGUAACUGACGCUGAGGCUCGAAAGCGUGGGGAGCAAACAGGAUUAGAUACCCUGGUAGUCCACGCCGUAAACGAUGAGUGCUAGGUGUUAGACCCUUUCCGGGGUUUAGUGCCGUAGCUAACGCAUUAAGCACUCCGCCUGGGGAGUACGACCGCAAGGUUG
rnacentral:rRNA from 1 species